rnacentral:misc_RNA from 1 species
GCCAAGAGCGUGCUCUAUCGCGCGGGCUUUUCACAUCCCGGCCACACCGAAUUCCUGGCGCAGCUCUCCGCCGCGGUGAGCGGUUCGGUGCCCCAUCCGGUGAUGAUGUUGUCGCCUGAGCUUGCUGUCGUUCCGGUGACGAUCCAUCUGCCGCUGCGCGACGCCAUCACGCAACUGACCAGCGAUCUGAUCGUUAGAACCGCACGCAUCGUCGCGGCGGAUUUG